rnacentral:rRNA from 1 species
UACGAAGGGGGCUAGCGUUGUUCGGAAUUACUGGGCGUAAAGCGCACGUAGGCGGAUAUUUAAGUCAGGGGUGAAAUCCCAGAGCUCAACUCUGGAACUGCCUUUGAUACUGGGUAUCUUGAGUAUGGAAGAGGUUAGUGGAAUUGCGAGUGUAGAGGUGAAAUUCGUAGAUAUUCGCAGGAACACCAGUGGCGAAGGCGGCUAACUGGUCCAUAGCUGACGCUGAGGUGCGAAAGCGUGGGGAGCAAACAGG